UGCAUGCAUGCAUGUGUGUAGAUGUGUGAUUGUUUAUCAGUAUCCUGACAAGAUUAAUCUUACACAGUUUUCAAUAAAUUUGCAUUUUCGUUGUGUUUUGUCCAAUGAAAUUUACAUUGAUUUUCUAUUUUAUUUUCCAGAAGAACUUCAGGAAAAAAUUGAAGGACCACAGAACUUAGAUCAAGUCCAGAAAGAAAUGGCCAGGAUGAUGGCUCAGUUCAAGGAUGAUUGGAGGAGAGAACAGUUGCAGAAUGAAGGACUUCAGGAAAAAUAUGGUAAAGCCUCUUUUAUACGCCUUCACCCCCCCAAACACUGUAGAACACCUGUGUUCGUGGUGUUGUAAAGAUAUCCCAGCUUUUAACCAACGUGUCACCACUGGCUUGCCCUCU
rnacentral:lncRNA from 1 species